UACGUAGGGGGCGAGCGUUGUCCGGAUUUAUUGGGCGUAAAGAGCUCGUAGGCGGCUUAGCAAGUCGGGUGUGAAAACUCCAGGCUCAACCUGGAGACGCCACUCGAGACUGCUAUGGCUAGAGUCCGGUAGGGGACCACGGAAUUCCUGGUGUAGCGGUGAAAUGCGCAGAUAUCAGGAGGAACACCGGUGGCGAAGGCGGUUCUCUGGGCCUUACCUGACGCUGAGGAGCGAAAGCGUGGGGAGCAAACAGG
rnacentral:rRNA from 1 species